ACUCAAAUGAAUUGACGGGGGCCCGCACAAGCGGUGGAGCAUGUGGUUCAAUUCGAAGCAACGCGAAGAACCUUACCAGGCCUUGACAUCCCGGUCGCGGGCUCCUGAAAGGGAGCCUUUCAGUUCGGCUGGACCGGUGACAGGUGCUGCAUGGCUGUCGUCAGCUCGUGUCGUGAGAUGUUGGGUUAAGUCCCGCAACGAGCGCAACCCUCGCCCUUAGUUGCCAUCAUUUAGUUGGGCACUCUAAGGGGACUGCCGGUGAUAAGCCGCGAGGAAGGUGGGGAUGACGUCAAGUCCUCAUGGCCCUUACGGCCUGGGCUACACACGUGCUACAAUGGCGGUGACAGUGGGCAGCAAUGGAGCAAUCCGGAGCUAAUCUCUAAAAGCCGUCUCAGUUCGGAUUGGGGUCUGCAACUCGACCCCAUGAAGUCGGAAUCGCUAGUAAUCGCGGAUCAGCACGCCGCGGUGAAUACGUUCCCGGGCCUUGUACACACCGCCCGU
rnacentral:rRNA from 1 species